UUUGAGGAUUUGAUCCUGGUCCAGGACGAACGCUAGCGACGUGCUUUAAGCAUGCAAGUAGAGCGAGCCCGCAAGGGCAAGCUGCGAACGGCUGAGUAACACGUAGGAACCUACACUUUGGUGGGGUACAGCUCGCCGAAAGGCGGGGUAAUACCGCAUGACCUCGCGAGAAAAGGAUGUAACUGUCCGCCGAAGAAGGGGCCUGCGGCCUAUCAGCUUGUUGGUGGGGUAACGGCCUACCAAGGCUACGACGGGUAGGGGGCGUGAGAGCGUGUUCCCCCAGAAUGGGACUGAGACACGGCCCAUACACCUACGGGUGGCAGCAACUGGGAAUCGUGCGCAAUGGACGAAAGUCUGACGCCGCGACGUCGCGUGUGGGAUGACGGCCUUCGGGUUGUAAACCACUUUUGCCAAAGAGUGAUUACUUUGGAGAAUAAGCACCGGCUAACUACGUGCCAGCAGCAGCGGUAAUACGUAGGGUGCAAGCGUUGUCCGAAUUUAUUGGGCGUAAAGAGUUCGUAGGCGUUUCCUUACAUCUUGUUUCAAAUACCGGAGCUCAACUUCGGGAAGGGGCAAGAGAUGGAGGAAAUUGGAGAGUGCAGGGGCUACUGGAACUUGCGGUGUAGGAGUGAAAUCCGUUGAUAUCGUAAGGAACACCGAGGGCGAAGGCAAGUAGCUGGGCACACCUUGACGCUGAGGAACGAAAGCUAGGGUAGCGAAAGGGAUUAGAGACCCCUGUAGUCCUAGCCGUAAACGAUGCUCGCUAGGGAUUUGCGUCCCGUAAGCUAACGCGUUAAGCGAGCCGCCUGGGGAGUACGAGCGCAAGCUUAAAACUCAAAGGAAUUGACGGGGACCCGCACAACCAGUGGAGCAUCUCUGAUAGAAAUAUCGGGGGAUCCUUCGAAAGUUGGAUGGUAGCACAGGUGUUGCAUGGCUAUCGUCAGCUCGUGUCGUGGGAUGUUCCCUUCAGUGGGGUAACGAGCGCAACCCCUGCCGUAUGUUAAAUUAUUCAUACGGGACUGGCCAGCUUAGCUGGCAGGAAGUGGGGACGAUGUUAAGUCCGCAUGGCCCUUAUGUCUAGGGCAACACACAUGCUACAAUGGAGCCGACAAUGGGUUGCCAAGUGGUAACACGGAGCUAAUCCCAUCAAACGGCUUCUCAGUUGGGAUUGAGGGCUGCAACUCGCCCUCAUGAACGCGGAAUUGGUAGUAAUCGGAAAUCAGCUAAGUUCCGGUGAAUACGUUCUCGGGUCUUGUACACACCGCAAUCCGUCAAGUUAGUGAAGUUGGGGGCACCCGAAUCCCGGAUGUUCCGGGGCAAGGUGAAACCAGCGACAAGAAUUAAGUCGUAACAAGGUAUCCGUUCUGGAAGGAGCGGAUGGAUCACCUCCUU
rnacentral:rRNA from 1 species